rnacentral:rRNA from 1 species
UACGGGGGGAGCAAGCGUUGUUCGGAUUUACUGGGCGUAAAGGGCGCGUAGGCGGCCAGUGCAAGUCAGUUGUGAAAUCUCCGAGCUUAACUCGGAAAGGUCAACUGAUACUGCUCGGCUAGAGUGCGGAAGGGGCAACUGGAAUUCUUGGUGUAGCGGUGAAAUGCGUAGAUAUCAAGAGGAACACCUGCGGCGAAGGCGGGUUGCUGGGCCGACACUGGCGCUGAGGCGCGAAAGCUAGGGGAGCGAACGGG